rnacentral:tRNA from 1 species
GGGAAGUUGGUGAAGCUGGUGCUCACGUGCCGCUGAAGACGGCGAGAUGGCAGUUCGUUCGCGAAGCGUCCCCGAAUGGGGAAUCCUGUCACUUCCCA